rnacentral:rRNA from 1 species
UACGAAGGGGGCUAGCGUUGCUCGGAAUCACUGGGCGUAAAGGGUGCGUAGGCGGGUCUUUAAGUCAGGGGUGAAGUCCUGGAGCUCAACUCCAGAACUGCCUUUGAUACUGAAGAUCUUGAGUCCGGGAGAGGUGAGUGGAACUGCGAGUGUAGAGGUGAAAUUCGUAGAUAUUCGCAAGAACACCAGUGGCGAAGGCGGCUCACUGGCCCGGUACUGACGCUGAGGCACGAAAGCGUGGGGAGCAAACAGG